GCCAGUCAUAGUAAUAGCUGGUGAGGAUGGAAUGCUGAUAGGAGCCGAGGCAGUCAUGUCUGGUUUUUUUUGGAGUUUCUGUUUGAGGAACUUCUGGCUGUUGAUCGAACGAAUUUGAAGACUGGUUUCCAAACGACGGAAUAGAGUCAACCCAUUGUUGGACCGGACCUGCUUGACGUCUCAUUUCCCAAAUUCCACGCAGCCAAUGAGUUACUCUAACUAUUGCCUCUGUCCCAAUGUUUUCUGUUUUAUUAAAGCAACAAGGGAAUUUUUGAAUCGGUAAGUCUGAACUGUCAAAUUAUUAAAUAUAUUAGUUCAGAUACGCAUUUCAUUCAGCUCGUAUGAGAAAGAAAAAAGAGAGAAGUGCUGAGAAGACAAAUUAACAUGACAGUUUUUAUAUGUUCAGAGAAAAU
rnacentral:misc_RNA from 1 species